UACGAAGGGGGCAAGCGUUGUUCGGAAUUACUGGGCGUAAAGAGCCCGCAGGCGGCUUGGCAAGUUUGAGGUGAAAUCUCCCGGCUUAACUGGGAGGGGGCCUCGAAAACUGCCAGGCUUGAGGCAUGGAGAGGGAUGCGGAAUUCCCGGUGUAGUGGUGAAAUGCGUAGAUAUCGGGAGGAACACCAGUGGCGAAGCCGGCAUCCUGGCCAUGUCCUGACGCUCAGGGGCGAAAGCGUGGGGAGCAAACCGG
rnacentral:rRNA from 1 species